ACUGCAGUGUUGGCACUUCC
rnacentral:miRNA from 1 species